rnacentral:rRNA from 1 species
CAGAACGAACGCUGGCGGCAGGCUUAACACAGUGCAAGUCGAACGGUUGUAGCAAUACAGCAGUGGCAGACGGGUGAGUAACACGUGGGAACCUUCCUCGUAGUUCGGAACAACUCAGGGAAACUUGAGCUAAUACCGAAUAUGUCCGAGAGGAGAAAGAUUUAUCGCUAUGAGACGGGCCCGCGUCGGAUUAGGUAGUUGGUGGGGUAACGGCCUACCAAGCCUACGAUCCGUAGCUGAUCUGAGGGGAUGAUCAGCCACACUGGGACUGAGACACGGCCCAGACUCCUACGGGAGGCAGCAGUGGGGAAUAUUGCACAAUGGGCGAAAGCCUGAUGCAGCAACGCCGCGUGCGGGAUGACGGCCUUCGGGUUGUAAACCGCUUUCAGUAGGGACGAAGCUAACGUGACGGUACCUACAGAAGAAGCACCGGCCAACUACGUGCCAGCCGCCGC